rnacentral:lncRNA from 1 species
CGUGUUCUGGCCCACGGGCCUCACGAAUGUCUUCCCCCAGCCCGCUGACUACCACGUCUGCGUGCGGUGGUAUCAAUCGGGGGCUCUCAACGUAACUCUCACGGUUUCCUUGGGCCCUACGCUCGUUAAAACCGUACCAGCUUACUGGACGAGCAACACCGUCUUCAGCAAGCAAUGCAACCCGAGCGCCUCAGGCUACGUUGGUACUUACACCUACACGGGCAACAGCAGCAGCAGCAGCAGCAGCAGUGGCACCGGUCCGGCCCGCACGCUCCUCGCAGCCACCACCACCAUUACCACCAAUGGCAUUGAUGGCGCGUCGGCGCAGUUCAAUGACCUGCACGAACUGUACGAGCGCGUCACGGCCGACGAACGAGUCGAACCUUCGACCAUGC